GACGAACGCUGGCGGCGUGCCUAACACAUGCAAGUCGAACGAGUGGCGGACGGGUGAGUAAUGUCUGGGAAACUGCCCGAUGGAGGGGGAUAACUACUGGAAACGGUAGCUAAUACCGCAUACCAUCGGAUGUGCCCCGAUGGGAUUAGCUAGUAGGUGGGGUAAAGGCUCACUUAGGCGACGAUCCCUAGCUGGUCUGAGAGGAUGACCAGCCACACUGCAACUGAGACACGGUCCAGCAUCCUACGGGAGGCAGCAGUGGGGAAUAUUGCACAAUGGGCGCAAGCCUGAUGCAGCCAUGCCGCGUGUAUGAAGAAGGCCUUCGGGUUGUAAAGUACUUUCAGCGGGGAGGCGUUACCCGCAGAAGAAGCACCGGCUAACUCCGUGCCAGCAGCCGCGGUAAUAC
rnacentral:rRNA from 1 species